rnacentral:lncRNA from 1 species
UGGGUGAUGUGCGAUAUAGUUUGUGCACAUGCUAGACUAGUCAGUUGGCGGUCCUUUGAGAUUGGGUCAGUUGUGGCCGAUUUGUAUCUAGUGAUGCAUUUAUAUGUUUACAAAGAGUAUGGUAUGGAUAGUGAUAGUAUAGUGAUAUUUAGCUGUAGAGUUUUUUCCAGGUUAUUUUACUAUUCUGUUACCUAUCAGUUUAUUCCUUGUAUUAUAGACUUAGUGGGUAGGCUGUUGGGGUUGGUGACUGUACCCACUGAGGACUACUCUGCUUUGCAGUAGUUCUGUAAGAUAUGAUU